rnacentral:rRNA from 1 species
GCCUGCAGCUCGCAUCGUAGGUACCGCCUGCCCAAUGAUUAGUUUAAUGGCCGCAGUAUCUUGACUGUGCAAAGGUAGCAUAAUCAUUUGUCUCCUAAUUAGAGGCUGGUAUGAAUGGCAAGACGUGAGGUUACCUGUGUCCUUGAUUCAAAUUAACUUAAUCUUUAAGUCAAAAAGCUUAAAUUACACCGCAGGACGAGAAGACCCCGUAGAUCUUAAUAUUGCCGCCUAUUUGUGUAGUAGUCGCUAUGGCUAUAAAGUGCUGAAAUAUUUGGUUGGGGUGACACGAAGUAGGCAAACACUUCUUUCCACACAAAAGUUGAAGGUUCCAUGAUCCGGCCAGCCGAUUAAAAAAUAAAGUUACCUCGGGGAUAACAGCGUAAUCUGCCCUUAGAGCCCUCAUCAAAUGGCAGGUUUGCGACCUCGAUGUUGGAUUAAGAUACCCGCCACGAGCAGCCCCGUGAUCGGGAGGUCUGUUCGACCUACAAACUCUUACAUGAUCU